UUUUUGACCCCCGUCUGGUACCAACCUUGCAUCUUGUGAUCUCACUGAAUUAUGUUAGUUUUCCAGCUCCCUAAUUUGUACUUCUUGCAUCUUUCCCUUUUCUGACAAGUGAGAGCUAUAGUUGGUUUGACACGCCAUGACUUUUCAGCACACCACUAAGUGGCAUUCUGCAUUUUCACCAUGCAGAUUGAUUGGACGAUAUUAUUAUUUUCUUUGAAUUAAAGAUGGAACAAUUGGUGUAUAAAUUUUAAGCAGUAAGGUCAAUGAAGCAAGAAUUUGGGUAGUGUCGGAUCUUUGUUGUAGUGUGCCAAGGGGGCCAACUUUAAAAGGGGAAUGUUUUUUGGAAGUGCUAUUUAAUAAUUUUCAUGCAUAAAUAGUUUUAAGCUUAUUAACUGUAUGUGUAUGUACAAUUUAAACCUGGAUUCUGAUCAAUCAGUGGGAGGAGAAUUCCAUGGAAAUUUAUGACUCAAUAGGCAAUAAAAGAUUGAAAUAUUAUUGAGUAUUUGCAAUUUCUAAAUGGCUGCUUCUAACCACCCUUCCUUUAAUGUACUGAUAGUCACUGGACACCUGCCCCUCUAAACUGUUCCAAAACCAAUCUUGAAAGCUGAGAUAAGAUAAUAUGGAAAUGUUAUCAAAUGGCUUCUUAAAGCUUAAAAUAGAGUGGUAUGAGGUGUUUGUUCUCUUUUCUGUCUGUUUGAUUUUGUUAGUUUUUGGUACCUUUUUUAAUUUGUGAGUAAAUUCCUUUCAAAUUGCUGUCUUCUACCGGUACCAAAAGGAAAAAUCCAUUGAAAAAACAAGCCUUUCUUUCUGCACUUAGAAUUGCUUCCAUCUAAACAAUACUCUGUCAUUCGAUUAAAUUCAAAUCAUGUUUACUGGCUGUUCUGGAUGAGAUUGCUGAUACCUAAGCUCUCCUCGUUAUGCAGAUUUGGAGAAGGCUUCUUGAGUAAGUUGAAGGUGCAGAGAUGUUAGAGUACUCUAGUGAGACGGAGUUGGUUUUGGUGUGGGCAUGGGCCAUUUGGAAAAUGGGUUUGGUGGUUUUCAGUGCUUUCUUUCUGCUUAUGGUUGUCUUCUGUGUUUCGAGUUUAUGAAGUUUGAAAUGCUUGUUAUUGUUCAU
rnacentral:lncRNA from 1 species